GACGUAGGGCGCGAGCGUUGUCCGGAUUUAUUGGGCGUAAAGAGCUCGUAGGCAGUUCGGUAAGUCGGGUGUGAAACCUCCAGGCUCAACCUGGAGACGCCACCCGAUACUGCUGUGACUAGAGUCCGGUAGGGGAGCGUGGAAUUCCUGGUGUAGCGGUGAAAUGCGCAGAUAUCAGGAGGAACACCAGCGGCGAAGGCGGCGCUCUGGGCCGGAACUGACGCUGAGGAGCGAAAGCGUGGGGAGCAAACAGG
rnacentral:rRNA from 1 species